rnacentral:lncRNA from 12 species
CCCCCCCCCCCCCCCCCCCGGCGGCGCCCGGGCCUGGCUGUGGCGGCGGCGCCCGUGAGGAGCCGGGCCCGGGGCGGCCCGGAAGCCGCCGGGCCUGCUGGCAGCCGGUGGGGGCCCGGCAGGCUGCGCUCAGGCCGUGUGUGAUGAGGGAGAGAGGGCGGGCGUCUGGCGGCGGUGCCGUGUUGUGGUGCCGUGCGCCUUGGUAACCCUGCCUGGGCUGGGGUUAGCCGUGCUGUGGGUGCCGGCUCGUUUCGGUUUCCUGACUGGAGUCACUUAA